CGUCGUCACGCGCAAUGGAGGCUGUGGUGAGGGCGGGGCCCGGGGACUUAAGUAGUGAAGUUGGACCGCCGUCUCCUCAAGUCUCGCGUGAUCACGUGGUCGGCACCCAGGCGGAAGUCUCCGGCACCUGCUUUGGGAUGAGGAACUUGCUAAGUAUUGCUGGAAAAAGCGGUCUUGGUUGCUGCCUGCGGGCUUUCUCUAGUUGCCCCCAGUGGGGGCUGCUUUUCGUUGCAGUGCGCGCCGCUUGUUAGGAACCAGGCUGCACAGCAGGAGGUGAGCGGCUGGCAAGCAAAGCUUCAUCUGUAUUUAUAGCUGCUCCCCAUUGCUCGCAUUACCGCCUGAGCUCCACCUCCUGUCAACAUUAUGCUUGUCUUCCGGUGGAAAGACCGUUGGUAUUCCCAAGAAGGCCUGGAAAUGGAUCCAAAAAAAUAUUGCUGUGAUUUAUGUCAAAGAGUGUUCUGCCUAACCAAAAACAAGUCUAAGAAACUAUCACAGCCAAGAGGAGCCUAAGGGUACAUGAGGAUGAAGUGUUACGUGGCAUCCUGGACAGGAUCCUGGACUAGAAAGAAAACAUUCGGUUAAAACUAGGGCGAUCUGAAUAAGC